GCGAGCAGAACAUCUUCUCUUUUCACGCUCCAGGUCCCUGUCAAGGGUUAAACCCCAUCAGGUCUUUCACUUCCACCUCAGCACCAUCUCAGCAAACAAGCAGGUGACCUGACAGUACUCCGAAAGCACAGAAAGGGGAGUACAGGAGAGGCAGGGAGACGGAGAAAGACGAAAAGCACUGCAAAAGGGAAAGACGGCAACGACGCGACCACGUGAUGUCAGGCAAAUUGGUGGCAUCGAGCAGUUUCCUGCAGAGGUGUCUGUGCCAGCUGGCGGUUCUGCAUCGCGUAACGGGGAGUCUAAAAACGCGGAGCAUCACAGCAGACCUGCGCCCAGAAGGCUGCCCACCACGGUAGCUGUGGGAGGCACUGCAGGGUUUUCCUGUGAACCCGCUGCCCCACCUUGAUGAGAUCUGAUGGGGCAUCACCUCGGCUCUCUUUCGGCUCCUGUCAAAUCCGCACGCUUUAAGUACUUCAGAAAUACAGGUUAUAAGAAAAGCAGUUGAUUCGCAGAGGUAACCAAGCACUACUGAUCUAUACAGAAUUAUGUCUAGUGCUCUACGCUAUGUGUAUAUUGUGAGUCUGCAAAAUAAUGUACUCCUCCAGAGAUUUCUACAAGCUUUUGGGAUGUAUGAACACAGACAUUUCAGAUGAGUGUCACUGGAUAAGGUCAAUAUGUACCAACAAACUGAUUUAUUUUCUCCUUAUUGUUCUGCAUAUAUGCUGCUAUUGUUGAAGACAUUUUCAUUUUCUGUUGCCCUGAUAACACCACAGACUGAAUCUCCAACGUGUCAUUGCCUUAUCAGAUGUUUCCUGUUAGAAUUAGGGGUAUGUUUUAGAAAUGGUUUGUUCUUUUUGUUGUUCUUGCAAACAUUGGCUAGGAUUCGAUGGUUAUUUUAUUAAUGUAAAUCUCUGCAAUGAAACUCACAACAUGCAAUUAUCGUGUUUCAGUUUAUGGUUUAAUCAGGGCUUCAAAAAAUUAAAAUUUCAUCCCAUAAAUUCAAAUACAGCGAUAUGCAUGUUGACAACACGAUGCGCAAUCUGUAUUGUUAACCAAGUGAAAUAAAACUUAAUUACCAACA